UUGGUACUCCCUCCGUCCGAAAAUACUUGUCACCAAAAUGGAUAAAAGAAGAUGUAUUUAGAACUAAAAUACAUCUAGAUAUACCCCCUUUUAUCCAUUUUGAUGACAAGUAUAUCCGGACGGAGGGAGUACUUU
rnacentral:pre_miRNA from 1 species